UGGGGAAUUUUGGACAAUGGGCGCAAGCCUGAUCCAGCCAUGCCGCGUGCGGGAAAAGGGCCUUCGGGUUGUAAACCGCUUUUGUCAGGGAAGAAAUCUUCUGAGUUAAUACCUCGGGAGGAUGACGGUACCUGAAGAAUAAGCACCGGCUAACUACGUGCCAGCAGCCGCGGUAAUACGUAGGGUGCAAGCGUUAAUCGGAAUUACUGGGCGUAAAGCGUGCGCAGGCGGUUUUGUAAGACAGAGGUGAAAUCCCCGGGCUCAACCUGGGAACUGCCUUUGUGACUGCAAGGCUUGAGUGCGGCAGAGGGGGAUGGAAUUCCGCGUGUAGCAGUGAAAUGCGUAGAUAUGCGGAGGAACACCGAUGGCGAAGGCAAUCCCCUGGGCCUGCACUGACGCUCAUGCACGAAAGCGUGGGGAGCAAACAGGAUUAGAUACCCUGGUAGUCCACGCCCUAAAACGAUGUCAACUGGUUGUUGGGAAGGUUCCUUCUCAGUAACGUAGCUGACGCGUG
rnacentral:rRNA from 1 species